UAGACCUCAAAUCAGGUAGGACUACCCGCUGAACUUAA
rnacentral:rRNA from 1 species